GAGGGUAUAGCUUCAUGGUAGAGCACUUGACUAACAUAUAAGGCACCUGGGUUUGAUCCCCAGUACUUA
rnacentral:tRNA from 1 species